rnacentral:rRNA from 1 species
GGCAUGUGGGCGGCUACCAUGCGCGUCGAGCGGAACGAGUUGUCUGAACCUUCGGGGAACGAUAACGGCGUCGAGCGGCGGACGGGUGAGUAAUGCCUGGGAAAUUGCCCUGAUGUGGGGGAUAACCAUUGGAAACGAUGGCUAAUACCGCAUAAUAGCUUCGGCUCAAAGAGGGGGACCUUCGGGCCUCUCGCGUCAGGAUAUGCCCAGGUGGGAUUAGCUAGUUGGUGAGGUAAUGGCUCACCAAGGCGACGAUCCCUAGCUGGUCUGAGAGGAUGAUCAGCCACACUGGAACUGAGACACGGUCCACACUACUACGGGAGGCAGCAGUGGGGAAUAUUGCACAAUGGGCGCAAGCCUGAUGCAGCCAUGCCGCGUGUAUGAAGAAGGCCUUCGGGUUGUAAAGUACUUUCAGCAGUGAGGAAGGUGGAUGUGUUAAUAGCACUUUCAUUUGACGUUAGCUGCAGAAGAAGCACCGGCUAACUCCGUGCCAGCAGCCGCGGUAAUACGGAGGGUGCGAGCGUUAAUCGGAAUUACUGGGCGUAAAGCGCAUGCAGGUGGUUUGUUAAGUCAGAUGUGAAAGCCCGGGGCUCAACCUCGGAAUUGCAUUUGAAACUGGCAGACUAGAGUACUGUAGAGGGGGGUAGAAUUUCAGGUGUAGCGGUGAAAUGCGUAGAGAUCUGAAGGAAUACCGGUGGCGAAGGCGGCCCCCUGGACAGAUACUGACACUCAGAUGCGAAAGCGUGGGGAGCAAACAGGAUUAGAUACCCUGGUAGUCCACGCCGUAAACGAUGUCUACUUGGAGGUUGUGGCCUUGAGCCGUGGCUUUCGGAGCUAACGCGUUAAGUAGACCGCCUGGGGAGUACGGUCGCAAGAUUAAAACUCAAAUGAAUUUGA